AUGUAUCACUCGUACACUGCGGUUCUGAGCGCGCCGUCCCACCACCUGACGACCGCUGGCUACGUUGUUUUGUUAGCC
rnacentral:sRNA from 2 species